GUGCUUACUUUGGCAGCACAUACAUCAGAAUCGGAAGGGUGCAGAAGUCAGACCCUGCACAAGGAAGACAUGCAAAUUCGUGAAGCAUUCCAUAUUUUC
rnacentral:snRNA from 1 species